AAAAGUGACAGAGCGCAUGUACCGCAUUUGCGGCAGACGAGGAAUGAGGUUAUCGAUCAGUCAGCGGAUGCCUCACGGUUAGCUGUAGGCCGAAAGCUGGAUACAAAGCCCUAUGGCAACAUAGGAGAGAAAGUUUC
rnacentral:ncRNA from 1 species